rnacentral:tRNA from 1 species
AUAUAGCUCAGUCGGCAGAGCGUUAGCCUUUUACCUCCGGGCCCCUACGGCACCGUGAAGAACAGCCAGCUAAUGGUCGCGGGUUCGAACCCCGCUAUG